rnacentral:sRNA from 1 species
CGCAAACCAUAUUGCGGGUUUUCAGGC